rnacentral:rRNA from 1 species
UACGGGGGGGGUAAGCGUUGUUCGGAAUUACUGGGCGUAAAGGGCUCGUAGGCGGCCAACUAAGUCGGACGUGAAAUCCCUCAGCUCAACUGGGGAACUGCGUCCGAUACUGGAUGGCUUGGAUUUGGGAGAGGGAUGCGGAAUUCCAGGUGUAGCGGUGAAAUGCGUAGAUAUCUGGAGGAACACCGGUGGCGAAGGCGGCAUCCUGGACCAAUAUUGACGCUGAGGAGCGAAAGCCAGGGGAGCAAACGGG